CACGUCUUUGCACUGGGGAGCCCCUAUAAUAUUUGGAGCAUGGCCUUUGUAGUUGUCAUAUACUGAGGAGCCCCUGAUCAGGUAAGGGUGGAGCUUUUUUCAUACAGGAAUUCACGUCUUAGCCCUGGGGAGCCCUGAUAAUAUUUGGAGCAUGGUCUUUGUAGUGGUCAUAUACUGAAGAGCCACUGAUCUAUUUGGGGUGUACUUUUUUCAUGCAGGACUUUACGUCUUUGCACUGGGGAGCCCCUAUAUUAUUUGGAGCAUGGUCUUUGUAGUGGUCAUAUACUAAAGAACCACAGAUCUAUUUGGGGUACACUUUUUCAUGCAGGACAUCACGUCUUUGCACUAGGGAGCCCCUAUAUUAUUUGGAGCAUGGUCUUUGUAGUGGUAAUAUACUGAAGAGCCCCUGAAGUUCAUGGGGUGCCCUUUUUUCCUGCUGGACUGCAUGUCUCAGCACUGGGCAGCCCCUAUAAUAAUUGGAGCAUGGUCUGUGUAGUGGUAAUAUACUGAAGAGCCCCUGAAGUUCAUGGGGUGCCCUUUUUCUCCUGCUGGUCUUCAUGUCUCAGCACUGGGCAGCCCCUAUAAUAAUUGGAGCAUGGUCUGUGUAGUGGUAAUAUACUGAAGAGCCCCUGAAGUUCAUGGGGUGCCCCUUUUUUACUGCUGGACUGCAUGUCUUAGCACUGGGCAGCCCUUAUAAUAUUUGAAGCAUGGUCUUUGUAGUGGUCAUAUACUAAAGAACGACUGAUCUAUUUGGGGUGCACUUUAUUCAUGCAGGACUUCACGUCUUUGAAAUGGAGAGCCCCUAUAAUAUUUGGAGCAUGGUCUUUGUAGUGGUCAUAUACUGAAGAGCCCCUGAAGUGCCAGUGGACUUCAUGUCUCAUCACUGGGGAGCCCCUAUAAUGUUUGGAGCAUGGUCUUUGUAGUGGUCAUAUACUGAAGAGCCCCUGAAAUUCCAGGGGUGCCCCUUUUUUCCUGCUGGACUUCAUGUCUCAGCAUAGGGUGCCCCUAUAAUAUUUGGAGCAUGGUCUUUGUAGUGGUCAUAUACUGAAGAGCUUCUGAUCUGUUUGGGAUGCAGCUUUAUUCCUGCUGGACUGCAUGUCUUAGCGCUGGGCAGCCCCUAUAAUAAUUGGAGCAAGGUCUUUUUAGUGGUAAUAUACUGAAGAGCCACUGAUCUAUUUGGGGUGUACUUUAUUCAUUCAGGACUUCACGUCUUUGCAAUGGGGAGCCCCUAUAAUAUUUGGAGCAUGGUCUUUGUAAUGGUCAUAUACUGAAGAGCCCCUGAAGUGCAGGUGGACUUCAUGUCUUUGCACUGGGGAGCCCCUAUAAUAUUUGGAGCAUGGCCUUUGUAGUUGUCAUAUUCUCAGGAGCCCCUGAUCUGGUAAGGGUGGAGCUUUUUUCAUGCUGGACUUCACGUCUUAGCCAUGGGGAGCCACUAUAAUAUUUGGAGCAUGGUCUUUGUAGUGCUCAUAUACUGAAGAUCCCCUGAAGUGCCUGGGGUGCCCCUUUUUUCCUGCUGGACUUCACGUCUUUGCACUGGGGAGCCCCUAUAAUAUUUGGAGCAUGGUCUUUGUAGUGGUCAUAUACUGAAGAGCCCCUGAAGUUCCGGGGUGCCCCUUUUUUCCUGCUGGACUUCAUGUCUUUGCACUGGGGAGCCCCUAUAAUAUUUGGAGCAUUGCCUUUGUAGUGGCCUUACUGAAGAACCCCUGAUCUGGUUGGGGUGAAGAAGCUCUUUUCAUGCUGGACUACUUUGUCCUGGGGAGCCCCUCAUUUGAAUGGGGUGCAGCUCUUUUCAUGCUGGACUUCAUGUCUUUGCGCUGAGAAGCCUCCCCAAUUGUGGGAGUAUGGGCUUCUCAGAAUGGACUUAGUGACUGUACGCUGAGUGGUUGCUCAUUUAUCUGGAGUUUGUCUAGCUCCAUUCCAGGCUACGUGACUUCGCCCUUCAUCCUACGAGUGUUGAUGUGGUAGGAGCUCUCAACUGCCCCAUCCCUUUGGCCUCCCUGACCUCUUCAAGCAGCGUGGUGGUGUGAUGAAGGCGCCCUUCAUCCUGUGAGUGUUGAUUUGGUAGGAUCUCUCAACUGCCCCAUCCCUUUGGCCUCCCUGACCUCUUCAAGCAGCGUGAUGGUGUGAUGAGCGGGUUCUGCUGGCUGAAGGCACACGGUGAGUAGACUCUGGCCAGGCAUGGAGGAGACGCAUGCUGAAGCCUGAAGCUUUCCGGUCUCAUUCUCCUUGGGUUGGGCUCUUGGAUGAACAGCCUGGUCCUCAAGAAGGCCUUCUAAAGAGGGGAAAGAGUAGAUUAUUUUUUUUAUUUAUCCACUUUCUAUAGAGCCCGUCCAAAAAUGGCUCAGGGCAGUUUACACAUAGAAAUAAUAAAUAACUCAGAUGGAUCUGUGUUCAAGAGGGGCUCACAAUCUCACAAAGCGACAGCAGAUAGACAGCAGCAACAGGCACUGGAGGUCCUUUGUAGUGGUCAUAUACUGAAGAGCCACUGAUCUAUUUGGGGUGCACUUUUUUCAUGCAGGACUUCACGUCUUUGCACUGGGGAGCCCCUAUAAUAUUUGGAGCAUGGCCUUUGUAGUGGCCAUACUGAAGAGCCCCUGAUCUGGUAAGGGUGGAGCUUCUUUCAUGCUGGACUUCACGUCUUAGCCAUGGAGAGCCACUAUAAUAUUUGGAGCAUGGUCUUUGUAGUGGUCAUAUACUGAAGAUCCCCUGAAGUGCCUGGGGUGCCCCUUUUUUCCUGCUGGACUACUUUGUCCUGGGGAGCCCCUCAUUUGGAUGGGGUGCAGCUCUUUUCAUGCUGGACUUCAUGUCUUUGCGCUGAGGAGCCCCCCCAAAUUGUGGGAGUAUUGGCUUCUCAGAAUGGACUUAGUGUCUGUAUGCUGAGUGGUUGCUCAUUUAUUGGUUGUAUUGUUUUAUGCCUACUUUAAUAUGUUUUUAUGCUUGUAACAUGAUGUUUUUAUUGUCUUUUUAUUGUAUGUUUUUAACUUUUGUAAAGCGCCUUGGGGUUAUCAUUUUAACGAAAGGCGGUAUAUAAAUGCAAAAAGAAAUAACAAAUAAAUAAAUAAAUUUAUCUGGAGUUUGUCUAGCUCCAUUCCUGGCUGCGUGACUUCGCCCUUCAUCCUGCGAGUGUUGAUGUGGUAGGAUCUCUUAACUGCCCCAUCCCCUUGGACUCCCUGACCUCUUCAAGCAGCGUGGUGGUGUGAUGAGCGGGUUCUGCUGGCUGAAGGCACACGGUGAGUGGACUCUGGCUAGGCAUGGAGACGCAUGCUGAAGCCUGAAGCUUUCCGGUCUCAUUCUCCUUGGGUUGGGAUCUUGGAUGAACAGCCCUGGUCCUCAAGAAGGCCUUCUAAAGAGGAGAAAGAGGAGAUUAUUAUUUUUUAUUUAUCCACUUUCUAUACCGGCCGUCCAAAAAUGGCUCGUGGCGGUUUACACAGAGAAAUAAUAAAUAAAUAAGAUGGAUCUGUGUUCACGAGGGGCUCACAAUCUCACAAAGCGAAAGAAGAUAGACAGCAGCAACAGUCACUGGAGGUCCUUUGUCGUGGUCAUAUACUGAAGAGCCACUGAUCUAUUUGGGGUGCACUUUUUUCAUGCAGGACUUCACGUCUUUGCACUGGGGAGCCCCUAUAAUAUUUGGAGCAUGGUCUUUGUAGUGGUCAUAUACUGAAGAGCCCCUGAAGUGCCGGGGUGCCCCUUUUUUCCUGCUGGACUUCAUGUCUUUGCACUGGGGAGCCCCUAUAAUAUUUGGAGCAUUGCCUUUGUAGUGGCCUUACUGAAGAACCCCUGAUCUGGUUGGGGUGAAGAAGCUCUUUUCAUGCUGGACUACUUUGUCCUGGGGAGCCCCUCAUUUGAAUGGGGUGCAGCUCUUUUCAUGCUGGACUUCAUGUCUUUGCGCUGAGAAGCCUCCCCAAUUGUGGGAGUAUGGGCUUCUCAGAAUGGACUUAGUGUCUGUACACUGAGUGGUUGCUCAUUUAUCUGGAGUUUGUCUAGCUCCAUUCCAGGCUACGUGACUUUGCCCUUCAUCCUGCGAGUGUUGAUGUGGUAGGAGCUCUCAACUGCCCCAUCCCUUUGGACUCCCUGACCUCUUCAAGCAGCGUGGUGGUGUGAUGAGCGGGUUCUGCUGGCUUGAAGGCACACGGUGAGUGGACUCUGGCCAGGCAUGGAGGAGACGCAUGCUGAAUGAAGCCUGAAGCUUUCCGGUCUCAUUCUCCUUGGGUUGGGCACUUGGAUGAACAGACCUGGUCCUCAAGAAGGCCUUCUUAAGAGGGGAAAGAGUAGAUUAUUUUUUUUAUUUAUCCACUUUCUAUAGAGCCCGUCCAAAAAUGGCUCAGGGCGGUUUACACAUAGAAAUAAUAAAUAACUCAAAUGGAUCUGUGUUCACGAGGGGCUCACAGGCUCACAAAGCGACAGAAGAUAGACAGCAGCAACAGUCACUGGAGGUCCUUUGUCGUGGUCAUAUACUGAAGAGCCACUGAUCUAUUUGGAGCGCACUUUUUUCCUGCUGGACCUCAUGUCUUUGCACUGGGGAGCCCCUAUAAUAUUUGGAGCAUGGUCUUUGUAGUGGCCAUACUGAAGAGCCCCUGAUCUGGUUGGGGUGAAGCUCUUUUCAUGCUGGACUACUUUGUCCCGGGAAGCCCCUACUUUGAAUGGGUUGCAGAUCUUUUCAUGCUGGACUUCAUGUCUUUGCGCUGAGGAGCCCCCCAAAUUGUGGGAGUAUGGGCUUCUCAGAAUGGACUUAGUGGUUCCUCAUUUAUCUGGAGUUUCUCCAGCUCCAUUCCUGGCUGCGUGACUUCCCCCUUCAUCCUGUGAGUGUUGAUGUGGUAGGAGCUCUCAACUGCCUCAUCCCUUUGGCCUCCCUGACCUCUUCAAGCAGCGUGGUGGUGUGAUGAAGGCACACGGUGGCUGCGUGACUUCGCCCUUCAUCCUGUGAGUGUUGAUGUGGUAGGAGCUCUCAACUGCCCCAUCCCUCUGGCCUCCCUGACCUCUUCAAGCAGCGUGGUGGUGUGAUGAAGGCACACGGUGGCUGCGUGACUUCGCCCUUCAUCCUGUGAGUGUUGAUGUGGUAGGAGCUCUCAACUGCCCCAUCCCUUUGGCCUCCCUGACCUCUUCAAGCAGCGUGAUGGUGUGAUGAGCGGGUUCUGCUGGCUGAAGGCACACGGUGAGUAGACUCUGGCCAGGCAUGGAGGAGACGCAUGCUGAAGCCUGAAGCUUUCCGGUCUCAUUCUCCUUGGGUUGGGCUCUUGGAUGAACAGCCCUGGUCCUCAAGAAGGCCUUCUAAAGAGGGGAAAGGGUAGAUUAUUUUUUUUAUUUAUCCACUUUCUAUAGAGCCCGUCCAAAAAUGGCUCAGGGCAGUUUACACAUAGAAAUAAUAAAUAACUCAGAUGGAUCUGUGUUCACGAGGGGCUCACAAUCUCACAAAGCGACAGCAGAUAGACAGCAGCAACAGGCACUGGAGGUCCUUUGUAGUGGUCAUAUACUGAAGAGCCACUGAUCUAUUUGGGGUGCACUUUUUUCAUGCAGGACUUCACGUCUUUGCACUGGGGAGCCCCUAUAAUAUUUGGAGCAUGGCCUUUGUAGUGGCCAUACUGAAGAGCCCCUGAUCUGGUAAGGGUGGAGCUUUUUUCAUGCUGGACUUCACGUCUUAGCCAUGGAGAGCCACUAUAAUAUUUGGAGCAUGGUCUUUGUAGUGGUCAUAUACUGAAGAUCCCCUGAAGUGCCUGGGGUGCCCCUUUGUUCCUGCUGGACUUCAUGUCUUUGCACUGGGGAGCCCCUAUAAUAUUUGGAGCAUGGCCUUUGUAGUUGUCAUAUUCUCAGGAGCCCCUGAUCUGGUAAGGGUGGAGCUUUUUUCAUGCUGGACUUCACGUCUUAGCCAUGGGGAGCCACUAUAAUAUUUGGAGCAUAGUCUUUGUAGUGGUCAUAUACUGAAGAUCCCCUGAAGUGCCUGGGGUGCCCCUUUUUUCCUGCUGGACUACUUUGUCCUGGGGAGCCCCUCAUUUGGAUGGGGUGCAGCUCUUUUCAUGCUGGACUUCAUGUCUUUGCGCUGAGGAGCCCCCCCAAAUUGUGGGAGUAUGGGCUUCUCAGAAUGGACUUAGUGUCUGUAUGCUGAGUGGUUGCUCAUUUAUUUGUUGUAUUGUUUUAUGCCUACUUUAAUAUGUUUUUAUGCUUGUAACAUGAUCUUUUUAUUGUCUUUUUAUUGUAUGUUUUUAACUUUUGUAAAGCGCCUUGGGGUUAUCAUUUUAACGAAAGGCGGUAUAUUAAUGCAAAAAGAAAUAACAAAUAAAUAAAAAAAUUUAUCUGGAGUUUGUCUAGCUCCAUUCCUGGCUGCGUGACUUCGCCCUUCAUCCUGCGAGUGUUGAUGUGGUAGGAUCUCUCAACUGCCCCAUCCCUUUGGCCUCCCUGACCUCUUCAAGCAGCGUGAUGGUGUGAUGAGCGGGUUCUGCUGGCUGAAGGCACACGGUGAGUAGACUCUGGCCAGGCAUGGAGGAGACGCAUGCUGAAGCCUGAAGCUUUCUGGUCUCAUUCUCCUUGGGUUGGGCUCUUGGAUGAACAGCCCUGGUCCUCAAGAAGGCCUUCUAAAGAGGGAAAAUAGUAGAUUAUUUUUUUUAUUUAUCCCCUUUCUAUAGAGCCCGUCCAAAAAUGGCUCAGGGCAGUUUACACAUAGAAAUAAUAAAUAACUCAGAUGGAUCUGUGUUCACGAGGGGCUCACAAUCUCACAAAGCGACAGCAGAUAGACAGCAGCAACAGGCACUGGAGGUCCUUUGUAGUGGUCAUAUACUGAAGAGCCACUGAUCUAUUUGGGGUGCACUUUUUUCAUGCAGGACUUCACGUCUUUGCACUGGGGAGCCCCUAUAAUAUUUGGAGCAUGGCCUUUGUAGUGGCCAUACUGAAGAUCCCCUGAAGUGCUUGGGGUGCCCCUUUUUUCCUGCUGGACUUCAUGUCUUUGCACUGGGGAGCCCCUAUAAUAUUUGGAGCAUGGCCUUUGUAGUGGUCAUAUACUGAAGAGCCCCUGAAGUGCCGGGGUGCCCCUUUUUUCCUGCUGGACUUCAUGUCUUUGCACUGGGGAGCCCCUAUAAUAUUUGGAGCAUUGCCUUUGUAGUGGCCUUACUGAAGAACCCCUGAUCUGGUUGGGGUGAAGAAGCUCUUUUCAUGCUGGACUACUUUGUCCAGGGGAGCCCCUCAUUUGAAUGGGGUGCAGCUCUUUUCAUGCUGGACUUCAUGUCUUUGCGCUGAGAAGCCUCCCCAAUUGUGGGAGUAUGGGCUUCUCAGAAUGGACUUAGUGUCUGUACGCUGAGUGGUUGCUCAUUUAUCUGGAGUUUGUCCAGCUCCAUUCCAGGCUACGUGACUUCGCCCUUCAUCCUGCGAGUGUUGAUGUGGUAGGAGCUCUCAAUUGCCCCAUCCCUCUGGCCUCCCUGACCUCUUCAAGCAGCGUGGUGGUGUGAUGAAGGCACACGGUGGCUGCGUGACUUCGCCCUUCAUCCUGUGAGUAUUGAUGUGGUAGGAUCUCUCAACUGCCCCAUCCCUUUGGCCUCCCUGACCUCUUCAAGCAGCGUGAUGGUGUGAUGAGCGGGUUCUGCUGGCUGAAGGCACACGGUGAGUAGACUCUGGCCAGGCAUGGAGGAGACGUAUGCUGAAGCCUGAAGCUUUCCGGUCUCAUUCUCCUUGGGUUGGGCUCUUGGAUGAACAGCCCUGGUCCUCAAGAAGGCCUUCUAAAGAGGGGAAAGAGUAGAUUAUUUUUUUUAUUUAUCCCCUUUCUAUAGAGCCCGUCCAAAAAUGGCUCAGGGCAGUUUACACAUAGAAAUAAUAAAUAACGCAGAUGGAUCUGUGUUCACGAGGGGCUCACAAUCUCACAAAGCGACAGCAGAUAGACAGCAGCAACAGGCACUGGAGGUCCUUUGUAGUGGUCAUAUACUGAAGAGCCACUGAUCUAUUUGGGGUGCACUUUUUUCAUGCAGGACUUCACGUCUUUGCACUGGGGAGCCCCUAUAAUAUUUGGAGCAUGGCCUUUGUAGUGGCCAUACUGAAGAUCCCCUGAAGUGCUUGGGGUGCCCCUUUUUUCCUGCUGGACUUCAUGUCUUUGCACUGGGGAGCCACUAUAAUAUUUGGAGCAUGGCCUUUGUAAUUGUCAUAUUCUCAGGAGCCCCUGAUCUGGUAAGGGUGGAGCUUCUUUCAUGCUGGACUUCACGUCUUAGCCAUGGGGAGCCACUAUAAUAUUUGGAGCAUGGUCUUUGUAGUGGUCAUAUACUGAAGAUCCCCUGAAGUGCCUGGGGUGCCCCUUUUUUCCUGCUGGACUACUUUGUCCUGGGGAGCCCCUCAUUUGGAUGGGGUGCAGCUCUUUUCAUGCUGGACUUCAUGUCUUUGCGCUGAGGAGCCCCCCCAAAUUGUGGGAGUAUGGGCUUCUCAGAAUGGACUUAGUGUCUGUAUGCUGAGUGGUUGCUCAUUUAUUUGUUGUAUUGUUUUAUGCCUACUUUAAUAUGUUUUUAUGCUUGUAACAUGAUGUUUUUAUUGUCUUUUUAUUGUAUGUUUUUAACUUUUGUAAAGCGCCUUGGGGUUAUCAUUUUAACGAAAGGCGGUAUAUAAAUGCAAAAAGAAAUAAAAAAAUAAAUAAAAAAAUUUAUCUGGAGUUUGUCUAGCUCCAUUCCUGGCUGCGUGACUUCGCCCUUCAUCCUGCGAGUGUUGAUGUGGUAGGAUCUCUCAACUGCCCCAUCCCCUUGGACUCCCUGACCUCUUCAAGCAGCGUGGUGGUGUGAUGAGCGGGUUCUGCUGGCUGAAGGCACACGGUGAGUGGACUCUGGCUAGGCAUGGAGACGCAUGCUGAAGCCUGAAGCUUUCCGGUCUCAUUCUCCUUGGGUUGGGCUCUUGGAUGAACAGCCCUGGUCCUCAAGAAGGCCUUCUAAAGAGGAGAAAGAGGAGAUUAUUAUUUUUUAUUUAUCCACUUUCUAUACCGGCCGUCCAAAAAUGGCUCGUGGCGGUUUACACAGAGAAAUAAUAAAUAAAUAAGAUGGAUCUGUGUUCACGAGGGGCUCACAAUCUCACAAAGCGAAAGAAGAUAGACAGCAGCAACAGUCACUGGAGGUCCUUUGUCGUGGUCAUAUACUGAAGAGCCACUGAUCUAUUUGGGGUGCACUUUUUUCAUGCAGGACUUCACGUCUUUGCACUGGGGAGCCCCUAUAAUAUUUGGAGCAUAGUCUUUGUAGUGGUCAUAUACUGAAGAGCCCCUGAAGUGCUGGGGUGCCCCUUUUUUCCUGCUGGACUUCAUGUCUUUGCACUGGGGAGCCCCUAUAAUAUUUGGAGCAUUGCCUUUGUAGUGGCCUUACUGAAGAACCCCUGAUCUGGUUGGGGUGAAGAAGCUCUUUUCAUGCUGGACUACUUUGUCCUGGGGAGCCCCUCAUUUGAAUGGGGUGCAGCUCUUUUCAUGCUGGACUUCAUGUCUUUGUGCUGAGAAGCCUCCCCAAUUGCGGGAGUAUGGGCUUCUCAGAAUGGACUUAGUGUCUGUACGCUGAGUGGUUGCUCAUUUAUCUGGAGUUUGUCUAGCUCCAUUCCAGGCUACGUGACUUCGCCCUUCAUCCUGCGAGUGUUGAUGUGGUAGGAGCUCUCAACUGCCCCAUCCCUUUGGACUCCCUGACCUCUUCAAGCAGCGUGGUGGUGUGAUGAGCGGGUUCUGCUGGCUGAAGGCACACGGUGAGUGGACUCUGGCCAGGCAUGGAGGAGACGCAUGCUGAAUGAAGCCUGAAGCUUUCCGGUCUCAUUCUCCUUGGGUUGGGCACUUGGAUGAACAGACCUGGUCCUCAAGAAGGCCUUCUAAAGAGGGGAAAGAGUAGAUUUUUUUUUUAUUUAUCCACUUUCUAUAGAGCCCGUCCAAAAAUGGCUCAGGGCGGUUUACACAUAGAAAUAAUAAAUAACUCAGAUGGAUCUGUGUUCACGAGGGGCUCACAGGCUCACAAAGCGACAGAAGAUAGACAGCAGCAACAGUCACUGGAGGUCCUUUGUCGUGGUCAUAUACUGAAGAGCCACUGAUCUAUUUGGAGCGCACUUUUUUCCUGCUGGACCUCAUGUCUUUGCACUGGGGAGCCCCUCUAAUAUUUGGAGCAUGGUCUUUGUAGUGGCCAUACUGAAGAGCCCCUGAUCUGGUUGGGGUGAAGCUCUUUUCAUGCUGGACUACUUUGUCCUGGGAAGCCCCUACUUUGAAUGGGUUGCAGAUCUUUUCAUGCUGGACUUCAUGUCUUUGCGCUGAGGAGCCCCCCAAAUUGUGGGAGUAUGCGCUUCUCAGAAUGGACUUAGUGGUUCCUCAUUUAUCUGGAGUUUGUCUAGCUCCAUUCCUGUCUGCCUGACUUCGCCCUUCAUCCUGUGAGUGUUGAUUUGGUAGGAUCUCUCAAGUGCCCCAUCCCUCUGGCCUCCCUGACCUCUUCAAGCAGCGUGGUGGUGUGAUGAAGGCACACGGUGGCUGCGUGACUUCGCCCUUCAUCCUGUGAGUGUUGAUGUGGUAGGAGCUCUCAACUGCCCCAUCCCUUUGGCCUCCCUGACCUCUUCAAGCAGCGUGAUGGUGUGAUGAGCGGGUUCUGCUGGCUGAAGGCACACGGUGAGUAGACUCUGGCCAGGCAUGGAGGAGACGCAUGCUGAAGCCUGAAGCUUUCCGGUCUCAUUCUCCUUGGGUUGGGCUCUUGGAUGAACAGCCCUGGUCCUCAAGAAGGCCUUCUAAAGAGGGAAAAUAGUAGAUUAUUUUUUAUUUAUUAUGAUUUAUUUGUUGUAUACUGCCUUUCCAAAAAUGGCUCAGGGUGUGUUACACAGAGAAAUAAUAAAUAAAUUAGAUGGAUCUCUGUCCCCAAAUGGCUCACAGUCUUAACAAAGAGACAUAAGAUAGACACCAGCAACAGUCACUGGAGAUACUGUGCUGGGGGUGGAGAGGGCCUAAAGAGAAUCACCCCAUGAAAAGGUGCCUCUUUGCCAAUUGAGCAGGAGUUCUUGAAAGGUAUGAACCUUUUUUCUUUGUUUUUGAAGGCAAAGGGGAGAAUGGAGAGAAGAAAGAGGUACAGGAGGAGGAAGAGGAAGGAGCAGGAAGGCGCAAGAGGAGACGUGGAAAGUCGCCGGAGGAGACUGUCUCAUGCUAGACCUGAAAAGAGAACAGGAGCAAGAUUGAAGGAAGAACUGCGGAUCAAGGAGAAAGAACAUCAGCAAGGUGGCACCGGAGCCCUGAAUACUUCCUGGAGAAGCGGGAGGCGAUGACUUGAUAACAAGAAGCAGGAGAGAAGAAACAGGCAGGCUCCCCUCCUCGGAGCUGGCUGGCUGGCUCAUGCUUUUCUUCAUGACUGAGGACAAUUCUGUCACAUACAAUAUCCCCACAGCGCUGUGAGGCAUCUGCCACCUGAAGAUGGUGGCUCUCUCCAAAGGACUUGCAUUUUUGGUGGCCUAUAAAUAUUGGCACAGCUCUGCGUAGCCUGUCGGCUGGUGGGGGUCUCCAAGGAGCGGCAUGCUUCAGGGGCCGUUUUCUGGCAGUUCAGUCUUCAGGCCUGGUCUCCUGUCUCUGCUGCUUCCUGCUCAGAGAAGUCCCCAAGAUACUUGGAGUGUGAUUUUCUUCAUGCCUGGCUUGAUAUCUCUGCUGCAGAUUACUAAGAGCAGCCACUGGCCUUGGGGGCAUCCAGGGUUUUAUCCUGGAUGGCUUCUCCACGCGCGCAAACCCCCCCCCCCAUUAUUUUGUGUGCUGCUUGCAAUAUUGUUUAAAUACACACUUAAAAUAGGUUAAAAACUAAAACAAAAAUAGCUAUUGCCCAGGAUAACCUCUAAGAGGCUAGGAUAAAACCUAAAAAGAAUAAAUGAGUGUAGGUAGUAUAAUAUGAUAAAAUCUAAUAGAAUAGGGUAAAAUCUAAAAAGAAUGAAGUAGUAUAGUAUAAGAAAUAAGCUCUGUUAAUUAGGGAGGCUAGUGGAAAAUAGAAUGAAGCAUUAUCAAAGCAGAUUAGAUAUUUUAGACCAACUAGUGUAUUCAAAUAAUAUUCAAAGCAGCAUAUGGAAAUGAUGAGAAAAAGCACAUUGAGACUAAAUAAAAGCCUGAAAGGCCAGAACACGCUCCUUGCCCCAGCCCCUCAGGUAGCUUUUAAGUGGCUCCAGGUCUCUUCCUGCUAGGAUCCUACAGACUUUCUCCCCUUGAUCCAAAGGAGAGUGGGGGUGGGAUUUGAUGUAGAAAUAAAGAUCAAUGUUAAUUGUCUUUAUAUAGCUUUGCUUACUGACAUGCUUAUAGGAUGCUGAAGAUGGUGUUUCUGUCAAGCACACAGAAUUGAUCCUUGUUUCAAGUUGUCUUAAUCUGUGUUUUAUUGUAAAUGGCCCAGAGACAUGAGUUUUGGGCGGUAUACAAAUAUGCUAAAUAAAAAGUUGUCAAUAUUGUCUGCUA